rnacentral:rRNA from 1 species
UACAGAGGGUGCGAGCGUUAAUCGGAAUUACUGGGCGUAAAGCGCGCGUAGGCGGCUUUGCAAGUCGGGUGUGAAAUCCCCAGGCUUAACCUGGGAACUGCAUUCGAGACUGCAUUGCUAGAGUAUGGGAGAGGGAAGUGGAAUUUCCGGUGUAGCGGUAAAAUGCGUAGAUAUCGGAAGGAACAUCAGUGGCGAAAGCGACUUCCUGGACCAAUACUGACGCUCAUGUGCGAAAGCGUGGGGAGCAAACAGG